GCAGCAACAUUAAUCCAGCCUGAGAAAGAAUGCAAGUCAUGCAGAGCAAAAACAUACAGAGCUGAACUGUGUGGAGAGGAGGGGUCGGAGUUAUGUAACACAGAAAGAGAGAGAGGAAGAAGAAGAAAAGACCGGAGAGGAAAGGCAACAGAUCGAGACUGAGGCUGAGAGAUGUGGAGGAGGUGUCCAUCCAAAUAUUAAACAAACAGUGACGGAGGACAGAACCAGAGAAGACAGAUCACAUCACCCGUGAACCUCCACAACUCUGUCACAACUAACAGGUGGACCUCUGGUGCUGUCUGAGGCGGCUGGAGGGCAGAGAUGAACCCAGGACUCUCUGCUGACACACGACUCAUGUGUAUCACCAUGGAAACAGCCAGCACCGGUUUGUCAAGAGCUCGUCUGUCACGGGGGAAAAAGAAUCACCAUGACAACCCAGUAGAGGGAGAGAGGGCCCUGUGGUGGAUCUCUGUGGUGGAUCUCUGCGGUGGGUCUCUGUGGCGGAUCUCUGUAUUGGAUCUCUGUAAUGGGUCUCUGUAGUGGUUUUCUGUGGUGGGUCUCUGUGGUGGAUCUCUGCGGUGGGUCUCUGCAGUGGAUCUCUGUAGUGGAUCUCUGUGGUGGG